ACUUCAUCUAAUAUUUUAUGCAUUACUUUAUGGUAAUAAAAAUCGCCGUUUCAUCACCACAUAUUAGAAUGCUCCCUUGGCACUUCGGUUUCUAACACGAUACGGCUGGUUUCACCACAGUAUUAGCAAUUUCGGACUGUAUUUUGGCAUCAACAAUUCAUGGCAUUAAACUUAGCAAUUUUGGCAUCAAUGGUUAUGGCAUAAAACAUUAACCGACUUCCCCCCAGGCCAAUACUUGGAGGAGCCAGUAUUUUCUUCGCCUUGGUUGUGGUUAGCUUUGAACUUGGCGAUAUCUUUAAGGAACAACAAAGAGAAAAAACAUUCACACACAUGCCUAACAUUUAAGCGUUAGUUAUAAUAACUAACAUUGUUUUGCACGCACAAAAUACAUAUGUAUAAGCAACACACAAUCAAUAAAAUAAACGUUCUGUUUACAAUUUAA